rnacentral:misc_RNA from 1 species
AUCAACUAAUAAGAAUAAUGGUUUCUGCAUAAGUACGAACUAAUUGCUCUUACAGAACAUGCAAAUUAUAUUUGUUUUUUUGCUCUUUUGAUGCCUCGCCUUUUUUGGGACGACGGUGAAAACAGGGCGCCUGGGGCGAAUUGAUCAAGGGUAUUGCACACACCGGCCGCUGCUGCAGCUCCGGAGCUCACCGGUCGGUGGUCGGCAGCACUGGCUCCACCGGACGGUCCCAGCUCAGUAGGUGGAGUACCGCGGCACACUCGGCGGCGGCGCACCGACUGAAACGAGGUACGUCUGCUGCUGCUGCUGCUGCUGUUGUUGCUGCUGGAGCAGCAUCGCCUGCUGGUAGGCGGCCAGGCUGGGAGUGGGUGUGUAGUACGACACGGAGCCUUUGUCGCCCGACGGCCGUUUGUAGGUGACGCCCAUCGGCGGGAACUGCUGUCAACGAGAGGGGAAGAAUGUUAUUAGAAGACACAGACUGGAGGACACGGAUAGUUUUGAGUGGUUUCGAAAAGCAGCGGCAAAAGACAAAGUAAUGGCAAAAGAAAUAUGAACUGCAUUCGAAGAUGAAGCGCUCUAAAAAUAUUUAAGCUGAAUCCUUGGCACCUGGGUCGUGUCCAAUGUAUUAUCUUACCGGAGUACUUACAUAGUACAUUGAAGAAUCGUAGACUGGUUCUCCCUGGAAAGAGCAAAUUAGUCGUCAAAACUCCGUGAAUCCAUGGCCAAACACUGGCAUCUAUGACUGUUGGUUCCAUCUAUGACUUGAAACCUCCCUGACCUAUUGCUGACCUCCGUGACCCCAUACUGACCCCGUGACCCGAUAAUGACCCUUGACACGGUGCUGACCUCUGUGACCCGUUACUGACCUCUGUGACCCGUUACUGACCUCUGUGACCCGAAACUGACCUCCGUGACCCGAUACAGACCCCGAGACUCGAUACAGACCCCGAGACUCGAUACUGACUCUGUAACUACUGACCUUCUGACUCGAUACUGACCUCUGUGACCCGACACUGACCUCCGUGAUCCAGAACUGACCUCCGUGACCAAGUACUGACUUCCGUGACCCAACACUGACCUUCAUGACCCAGUACUGACCUCCAGCCGGUCGGUGGGCAGUUUCUGCUGCAUCUGUUGCAUCGGCAAUGACGCCACCAUGGCGGUAUCGCCGACAGGAGGGCUCGCUGCUAGCGUAUAGUACUGGCUCAGGCCGGCGUACAUUUGACCGGCAGGUGACGCCAUCUGUUGAGGAAGUAACAACUUCAGUUAGCUGCAGCUAACGCCAGGGCCGACCGCAAACAGUGAAGGGUAAUUGCGAGGGCAUAUCUUUAUGUUGAGGGUUAUCAGAGCGAGGCGCUUUUAUUGCAGUCGUUAUCAGGUGAGUGUGGAUUAAGUCCGUUAAAAAUAAAAUACGUGUCGCGCAAUCAAGGCCUAUUGCGGACGGACACAAAAUAGCAGGGUGCAGGGGUCCGGCCAUCGUGCCAAGGCCUGGACGCUGGUAGGCACGUUAGCAGCGAUGAGCGGGCACCACACGGGCAUUCGCCAUUCAGAGCUCAGUGCGAAGCCCUGAUGGCCAAAUAAUGAAUGCAAGUCACGUACGUUUAGGUGCACGUGAACAGCACUUAAGUCAUUUAUUGCCUUCUCACCGCGGUCACACGAUAAAGCCACGCUUGGCUCAUAUGUUUCAGUAUAUUGCUCCUAAAACGUACGUUUAUUAUGCUAUGGGCAUUUUUUGUCUUCACAGGCAGGGCAGCCUUCCUUAUUUUCGUAUGUAGAAAUGUAGACGUGCAGGAAAAAGGGAAGCGAAGAGAUAGCAGCACUCACACGCAAUUUCUCUUCCUGUUUAACUUCUAUUGAAUUUAUGUGCUAUUGAGUGAUAAAGAACCGUUUCUUUCGGAAUCGGCACACAACCCUUUUUUAUGUUCAUGUGAAAUGAAUAAACGGUGACAUGCUGAC